AUGCUCUCAGGAAGAACGCAGCCAAAACGAGCAGAAGAAACUAAUCCAGGCAGUGCAGGAAGGAGGGAUCAGAUGACAAGGGGAUUCCAGUACGUCUGCCCCGGAGGGGAGCAGAAGAGUCCCUGCAGCAGAGCCUGUGCUUCAGUUCCUCCGGAAAGGCUGGACUUGCAGCAUUUGCAGUGUCAUGUUAAAACGUUGCAAGCGUUGCAGUUGACAAAAAAGCAUUGCCCCAAGAGGCAGAGCACCGUCUCCCAGAUAAAAUACAGUAACUCGAUCCAGCAUCCCUGUGGGUAUGCCACAUCAGCAGGCAUGGACGUACUGGGUACUCCCAGGUUAACGUGUUUGUGGAAGGCAACUGAUGUAUAUAGCGAAAAGACCAGAUCAAGGCCUCUAUGUAACUGCGUCCUCUCCCAAUGGCGGAACGUUGUUGCUCUUAGCUUUCAAAGACUCCAAGUCCUCUGGUUUGGCCUCAACCUUCUCUUCAAUGAAUUAACAUCGUUGUUACCCCCGAGCAUGCACCCAGUGCAGCCUCAGCGUUAG
rnacentral:lncRNA from 1 species